rnacentral:lncRNA from 1 species
CCCCGUAGCCUUCACACGUCCUCUACUAAACACCCCGUAGACGUCACACGUCCUCUACUAAACACCCCGUAGACGUCACACGUCCCUACUAAACACCCCGUAGACGUCACACGUCCUCUAGUAAACACCCCGU